UACGUAGGGUGCAAGCGUUGUCCGGAAUUAUUGGGCGUAAAGAGCUCGUAGGCGGUUUGUCGCGUCUGCCGUGAAAGUCCGGGGCUCAACUCCGGAUCUGCGGUGGGUACGGGCAGACUAGAGUGAUGUAGGGGAGACUGGAAUUCCUGGUGUAGCGGUGAAAUGCGCAGAUAUCAGGAGGAACACCGAUGGCGAAGGCAGGUCUCUGGGCAUUAACUGACGCUGAGGAGCGAAAGCAUGGGGAGCGAACAGA
rnacentral:rRNA from 1 species